rnacentral:rRNA from 1 species
UGAGGAAUAUUGGUCAAUGGACGCAAGUCUGAACCAGCCAAGUAGCGUGCAGGAUGACGGCCCUAUGGGUUGUAAACUGCUUUUAUAUGGGGAUAAAGUGGGGAACGUGUUCCCUUUUGCAGGUACCAUAUGAAUAAGGACCGGCUAAUUCCGUGCCAGCAGCCGCGGUAAUACGGAAGGUUCGGGCGUUAUCCGGAUUUAUUGGGUUUAAAGGGAGCGUAAGCCGUUUGGUAAGCGUGUUGUGAAAUGUAGGAGCUCAACUUCUAGAUUGCAGCGCGAACUGUCAGACUUGAGUGCGCACAACGUAGGCGGAAUUCAUGGUGUAGCGGUGAAAUGCUUAGAUAUCAUGAAGAACACCGAUUGCGAAGGCAGCUUACGGGAGCGCAACUGACGCUGAAGCUCGAAGGUGCGAGUAUCGAACAGG